CCUACGGUAGGCAGCAGUGGGGAAUAUUGGACAAUGGGCGAAAGCCUGAUCCAGCCAUGCCGCGUGUGUGAAGAAGGCCUUCGGGUUGUAAAGCACUUUCAGUGGGGAAGAAAGCCUUGGGGCUAAUACCCUCGAGGAAGGACAUCACCCACAGAAGAAGCACCGGCUAACUCCGUGCCAGCAGCCGCGGUAAUACGGAGGGUGCGAGCGUUAAUCGGAAUUACUGGGCGUAAAGCGCGCGUAGGCGGUCUGAUAAGCCGGUUGUGAAAGCCCCGGGCUCAACCUGGGAACGGCAUCCGGAACUGUCAGGCUAGAGUGCAGGAGAGGAAGGUAGAAUUCCCGGUGUAGCGGUGAAAUGCGUAGAGAUCGGGAGGAAUACCAGUGGCGAAGGCGGCCUUCUGGACUAACACUGACGCUGAGGUGCGAAAGCGUGGGUAGCAAACAGGAUUAGAUACCCUGGUAGUC
rnacentral:rRNA from 1 species